rnacentral:rRNA from 1 species
GACGAACGCUGGCGGCGUGCCUAAUACAUGCAAGUAGAACGCUGAAGGAGGAGCUUGCUUCUCUGGAUGAGUUGCGAACGGGUGAGUAACGCGUAGGUAACCUGCCUGGUAGUGGGGGAUAACUAUUGGAAACGAUAGCUAAUACCGCAUAAUAUUGACUAUUGCAUGAUAGUCAAUUAAAAGGUGCAAUUGCAUCACUACCAGAUGGACCUGCGUUGUAUUAGCUAGUUGGUGGGGUAACGGCUCACCAAGGCGACGAUACAUAGCCGACCUGAGAGGGUGAUCGGCCACACUGGGACUGAGACACGGCCCAGACUCCUACGGGAGGCAGCAGUAGGGAAUCUUCGGCAAUGGACGGAAGUCUGACCGAGCAACGCCGCGUGAGUGAAGAAGGUUUUCGGAUCGUAAAGCUCUGUUGUAAGAGAAGAACGAGUGUGAGAGUGGAAAGUUCACACUGGACGGUGUCUACCAGAAAGGA